ensembl:snRNA
AAAAAGGGCUUCUGUCGUGAGUGGCACAUGUAGGGCAACUUGCUUGUUCUGCGUGCGGAAUCGACAUCAAGAGAUUUCGGAAGCAUAAUUUUUUGGUACUUGGGCAGCCGGUGAUCGUUGGUCCUGGCGCCCUU